rnacentral:misc_RNA from 1 species
AGGUUUCUCCCUCCUUAUCUCUAGGUUAGAGUGUAGAUACCUCCUUUUGGUUUGUUUUCGCAGAUCCUUAGAACUAAUGGUGAGGGUUAUGGUUUGCGAUCUACGUUGUGUAUUUCAUUAUGUGUUUAUGUAGGUUCAGCUCUGUAAGCAACAGUUGAAGAAUGGUAACUCGAGGGUCUUGGUGUCGGCGUUAAAUGGUAGUUGUCAGUCCCCUAAGGCU